UCUAAUUUGUGAAGGGAGCGGGGAAGAGGCAGCUGCCUCCCGAAGCCUUGAGCCAGUUCCUUCUGCCUGGAGUCCCUGCAGCCGCCACAGCAAGGGGCCUUUGGCGGAAAUGAAACGGACCGAAAGGCUCACUGUGCUUUAUGAAAUGCUGAGGUCUCUCUGGGAAGCUUCCCCACCUGAGAAGCUAGAAGAGCUGCACCAGGAAACUUGUCCCCACUUGGGGCUCAGAUAGGGGUCAGCUCCAAGCACCAUCUGCUCUCGCCAGAAUCCAGCCUGCCGUCCUAACUGCACGUCUUUUACAGGUUCCUUUACAGUGAGUUAAUGAAAUACAACCCCCAGACUGCGAAGGACAGUAUAUUUGAGCUUGCCAGGGGAGGAGAGAAGCUCCAGAUAAAAAAGACUGUUUCGUUCCACCUGUACAUCAGGUCUGUACCCUGCCGGGCUCCCAGGAUGGGCUUCCACCUGCUCUGCCGGCCCCUAAAUCUGACCCCACGCAACAGGCCACACGCUCCACUGAGGUACCAUGAGGUACAUUCCCCAGUGGAGGAUGACUGUCCUAGACACAGCUGCCCCCUCCAGCAUCCCCUGGUGGGCUCCAGGAAACAUCCCAGCUCCAGCCGCAGCAGACUAGGGACCCCGAGAAGUUGGAGUUCCCUCCUGCGCAGGUGAGUGACGGACACCCCUGUGUUGCAGCACUGCCCCGUGUGGAGACGGCGCCCUCUUCGACAAGUCCUGCAGUGACCGCGCCCUGGAAAGCACAGAUUCCCGCCACUACCCUGUCUUUGAGAAUCCCAAACAAGGCAAGCUGCGCACCAAGGUGGAGAAUGGUGAGUGCCACACAGGCUCUGCGAGACCCCCGUGUGCGCCACUCGUCACGGGGGAGGACUGUAGGGAGGGGAAGUUCCAUUCUGAAUCUGUUAGCUCAGGUGAUGAGAGCCUGGGGGGGAAGAAAGGACAGAGCGUGUCCUCCUGGGGUCUCCACGGCCGGCACAGGCAGAGUGCGGGGGGAGGGCGGCGGAAGUGAAAAGUCAGGCCCUCCGUCUGGUGGCCUCGGACCUGGCCUCCUGCCCCCUCGCGCCUUCCUGCCUGUCCCCCAGCAUCUCCUUCUCCUCCGGUCACCCCUGCUCCCUUCAUGCUUCAGCAGUCGUCUGCGUCACUGUCAAGCCCAAGUCAGGUCACGUCAGUUCCCUGCUGGCCACCCUGAAGUCUGGACAGCACCACGUGGCCCAGCAGUCCUCCUGGGCUAUCCCCAGGAGAAGUGAAAGCCCAGGUCCACACAGAGCUAGUUCGGGCGCCUUCACAGCAGCCGGGCAGGGGACACGGCCAGCGCCCUCCCCUCCAUGACAGAAAAGUAAAACCGCCACAUCCAUGCGAGGGACUGUCCUUGGCCAUGACAUGAAGUAAGCAUUGACCCAGCUACAGUGAGGUCACCCUGAAAACGUCAUGCUAAGCGCAAAAAGCCCCAAAAGAUCACGUGGUGUGACUCCAUUUCUAUGAAAUAUCCAGAAUAAAUGAGUUCUACAGACAGGAAGUGCCUGAGAGGCUGCCCGGAUGAGGGACGGAGGGAGGUGGGAGUGAGAGCCAGCCGAGGUCGGGUUGGGGUUGAUCGUGCCGAUGUAUAAUCCCAUGGUGCAUAACCUCAGAAACGCCAAAAACCACUGAACAGCUUGCUUUCAAUGGCGAGUUGUAGUAUACGACUUGUAUCUCAGUAAAGCUGGUAUUUUUUAAAAAAACGCAAGCACCAUGUAGGGUCUCCCACUGCCCUUGAUACGAAGGCAACCUGAGCCAGGCACAGUGGCCCAGGCCUGCAAUCCCAGCAGCUCCGGAGGCUGAGGCAGGAGGAUCACGAGUUCAAAGCCAGCCUUAGCGAGGCCCAGAGCAACUCAGCAAGACCCUGUCUGUACUGAAAGCCCACCUCCCGGCCUCAGCCUGCCCAGUCUUCUCUUUGGUGAUUCUCUGGUGCCCCCGAAACACCGAAACCCUCGCUGCCUCAGGCCGUGGCUUCUGCCGCUCGCUCCCUGUCUGAAUGGGUUAGGACUCUUCUCCCUCCAGCUGCUCCCUGCCUCCUCCACCCAGGAGCUCGCGGUGCCGUCCCCCCGGCUCUCCCACAGGCCUUCCCCACGCUGUCAGCAUCUGGAGUUCCCACCUGCUCACUGGUGCAUCUGCUUAGUGCUCUCCUUUCCCUUUCUGUCCCUCACCCCUGAACACCGCGGGACAGCACGGACCUCACUGAGGUCUGCUCCCCAGUGUUUCCCAGCUCCCAGCACAGUGACCGCCGUGUCCUCCAGGACUGUGAGCCACAUGGAGAAUGAAGGGCCGAGCUGCCGGUGGCCCGGCCUCAGGAGCUCAAGUCCCGCGCUAGGGGUGGUUUGGUGGCCUCUGUGGAUCUGACCCGAGUCUCUCACACAGGGGAAGGCACCAUCCCUGUGGAGUCCAGUGACAUUGUGCCUACGUGGGAUGGCAUCCGGCUUGGGGAGAGACUCCGCACCAUGUCCUGUAGUGACAAAAUCCUACGCUGGAACGUGCUGGGCCUGCAAGGGGCACUGCUGACCCACUUCCUACACCCUGUGUAUCUCAAAUCUGUCACACUGGGUAAGGGACCUGCCUUGGGAGUUGGAACCCACCUGUCCUUCUCCACCCCAGUCCCAGAAAACUUCAUGCUUCAGUCAACCCACUUUCCACAGUGAGCUCAGCCCCGUCGUCAGCAGGGGGUGCCGGCCUGCACAGGCCGGAGGGUGGCCAGGAGGCCGAGGAGGGGGGCCAGGCCAGUCUCCAAGACGGGUCGGAGAAACGCGGCAGAUGGCAGCAGCAGCAUCUGGUUUUCCUUGUUCUCCUCAGUCCUUGGCCUUACCCGAAACAUUCCGUUUUGUGCUUCAAUAUUUGAUGAUCCUGUGUGUCCUGUGCUGCCACAGUUAGAGGCCCUGCCUGUCAGGGGCUCUCUGUCCUGACAAUUCUGCCUUAUACCUUCCAGCCCCCGGGGGCCUCAGCUUCUCCAUAGCUUUGGUGAACACAGAUGUAUGGGUUUUUGUUUCUGUUUUUACUUUCUUUUUUAUACCCAGGGUACCUUUUCAGCCAAGGACAUCUGACCCGGGCUAUCUGCUGUCGUGUGACAAGAGACGGGAGUGCGUUUGAGGCUGGAUUACGAUACCCCUUUGUUGUCAACCACCCGAAGGUCUGUGCCCCUGUCCUGUUCCCCUUUUCAAGCAUUCCCAUCAGCAGAGCAGAAAUAUGGUCAAGGGAGCCAUGGUUGGUGUCCUCUGGAGGCCAAGGGCUUUCCUCCUCUAGCCUGACACGAUCUGAAUCGAGGUGGAGAGUACUUCUAGAGUGUGCUCCGGUGUAACCAAGCCAUGUUAAAUCAAGGGGGAGACGGUGGCCCACCUCCCUCUUCCCCAUGAUUCGGGAGUCCCUGCUCCCAGAACUUAGCCCUGAAUGGUGUCCACCUCUCUCUCUUCACUCCUGGGACUCCCAGGUGGGCCGAGUCAGUGUGUAUGACUCCAAGAGGCAAUCCGGGAAGACUAAGGAGACGAGCGUCAACUGGUGUUUGGCUGACGGCUUCGACCUGGAGAUCCUGGAUGGUACCAGGGGCACCGUGGACGGGUAAGGAAGGGGGAGGGUGCAGGGCAAGCAGGAUCCUCUCCAGAGCUAGGGCCACGUCCCACCACGGGUGUCCCCAGUGGCUCCCACUCCCCUGUCCCAGGUGAAUAACCAGUGCCUUUGUUUCCCCAGGCCACGAAAUGAAUUGUCGCGGGUAUCGAAAAAGAACAUUUUUCUUCUGUUUAAGAAGCUCUGCUCCUUCCGGUACCGCAGGGACUUACUGAAACUCUCCUACGGUGAGGCCAAGAAAGCCGCCCGCGACUAUGAGAUAAACAAGAACUACUUCAAAAAGAGCCUCAAGGACAUGGGUUACGGAAACUGGAUAAGCAAACCCCAGGAGGAGAAGAACUUCUAUCUCUGCCCCGUACCCAACGACUGAGGCUGGGGGUUGGCGGGGAGGGGGGGGGUCCUGGCAUUCCUCAUCACAUUGGCCUAGGGUGGGGGGGGGUUAACCCCCACCUUUUUUUUUUUAAUGGAACCAUAAUUAGAGAUACUGAGAACUUUGGGUUCCCUUUAUCCUGCUUUCUUUGGGGUUUCUAGGCAGAAUCUGGCCAGGCCCCUUCUCUUACUUCAAGUGAGAGGCAGAGACCUACAGGCAGAGAAAGGGGUUGACCUUUCCACCCAGAGCAUAAGCAGUCACCCAGCCCCUGUGGCCCAUCUCCUCCUGAGCUUUGUUUUCCCGUUUCCUUUUUGUGGGUGUGUUUCUACACUGACCUCUCGUGGACUUGAUCAGGUUCCAGUCAGUUCUCUGUGAACCGUGUCAGGGACCAAGGAUCUCGUUUAUGGAUCCCACAGGCCCCUCUAUUUCCCACCCCCGGCUUCUGAGAUUCUUACCUGUGAUCACUGAGUCUCUCCUCCCACCCUGGAGGGUAAAGAGGUGGACUUCAGGAAUUAGGUGAAAUAUUUACAAGGGUAGGAACUGAAGACUACGGCGGAUUAACUACCAGUGCCAAUGGAAGUGGGACUGGAAUCUGCGAACCCUGCUCAGCAGUGGGAACCUGCACUGUGUCCAGGAAAAAGCCGCUGCUGGCGAAGCGCAUCCCUUCCCGGGGCAGCAGGAAGUUGAGAACCAGCAGACGGGCUAGGAAGUUACCCACGCCGUAGGCGGUCCCCCCUGCAGAGUGACACAGACCACUACCAGGGGCACAGACAGACGUUCCUUGGGCUAUUGCCAAGCUCCCAUCUGCCCAUAAGCCCAUAGACCCCAGUAAACUAGUGUGAAAAACUUCAGGACAAUUCUUAGAGGGUAAAUCGUCUGCUCAGAUAGUUAGGACUUAGCAAGAAUAGGGCAGAAAUCAUGUUGGGACAAAUCGUUGUUCUGUGCAGUUCAAUAUUUCUCAGCACUGAUCCAAGGAAAGUUGACUAAACCCAGUAGAAUUAGGGCUCUUUUAAAGAAUGCCAGAGACGUUGGUUCUCAACCGCAGUCGCACAGAUUUAAAAUGCAGAUGGCCUUUUCCAUCCAUCCCAGGGCCUCAUCGUGUCAGAUGGCUCUGGGACUGGCAGAUGAUUUCCCACACUCCUGCCUCCCACCCGCAAACUGCUUCCCCACCUGGUCUGGCCCACCUCUUCAGUAGUGGAUAUGUCUGUGUUUGCACUUUGAUCUCUCUGGCUACUUUCUGUACCUGUGACCAAAAACUGAAUGAAAUAAUAAUGCAGGUUUUAAAAAAGACACUAAGGAUGUCUUUGUGGGACACUGAAGCAUCCCAAGGGAACUGGUGGGGAAAUGGGGCCUGUCUCUGGGGGAGAAGGGGCCGGGGCUUUGUGAGUAUUGCCAAGCUUGGGGUAUUAGCUGAAGGCAUGUGACUUCAGUGCUGACCUGCGGAGUGACAGUGCUCACUGUGUGGGGGCAGGGUGAUCUUGUGGCUCCGGGACAGGUCCUCCCGGCUGGAGGAUGACUACCUACCAGUUCCUCAGGAUGUCUGGCAGCUUUGGUCUGCCUUGGGCAUUAGAAUCUCUGGCAGAGAUCUGACUCAGCAGUCCCCCACCCCAUCACUGGGAGCACAGGGGCUCUCAAGAGAUCAGAGCCCCACUCGCCCCCAGGAUCUUAUCUAGCAAACUUGUCAUAUCCAGUUUCUGCUGUAAGAAGAAAGCGAGAAGCACCCCUGCCCUCCACACCCUGCUGGAAUUGAGCCGUGUCAGGCCCCGCCCCCCCCGUGUCCCAGGCCCCGCCCCUCAGAGUCACACAGGAGGGGUGGGGGGCAGAGCAUCCCCCCUGUGUUCACUUCUGUCCAAUCUUUGUUUUAACAAGCAAGACCCCUCCCUCCUUUCUUUAAUGGUUUUUUGUAGUUGAUUUGUCUGAACUGUGGCUGUUGUGCAUUAUCUUUGAAUAAUCACUUGUAAAAAUUGUUGAUGCUUGAAGCUAUUUCCUUUACUCAAGUUGAAAGGACUCUGUUGGCUUUGGGGUCUUGACAGUGACUCCAAGAGCAGAGUGGGGAAGAGCCCGGGCAUAGCCUUGGUGCCAGGGAGGCUGCAGUCCAGUUUCAUGAUUCUGCUUUUUGUGUCUACCUUCAAGUGACUCACAGUAUACAUUCCUCUGAAAUAAAAACAGUGAACAGUCUGAAUCCUUAGAGAGCUUCAUGUCUUGGU
rnacentral:lncRNA from 1 species